GUUUUAUGAAAGCUUUUGUAGGCAUAUGUAUGGCUAUGUAGGCCUGUGCAGGUCUGUGUAGUGUUGUAUAGGUUUAUGUAGGGUUGUGUAAGUUUAUGUCGGCUUGUGUAGGCAUGUGUAUGGCUAUGUAGGCUUGUGUAGGCUUAUGUAUGGCUGUGUAGGCUUAUGCAGGUCUAUGUAGUCCUGUGUAGGCUAAGGGAGGCUGUGCAAGCUUAUGUAGGUCUGUGUAAGCUCGUGUAGGCUAAUGUAGGCUUAUUUAUGGCUAUGUAAGCUUGUGUAUGCCUGUGUAGGCUACUGUAGGCUUAUGUGUGACUGUGUAGGCUACUGUAGGUUUAUGUAGGCUAAUGUAGGUUUAUGUAUGACUGUGUAGGCUGAUGUAAGCCUGUGUAGGCUAAUGUAGGUGCAUGUAUGGCUCUAUAGGCUAAUGUAGGCUUGCAUAGGUUUAUGUAUGGCUAUAUAGGCUAAUGUAGGCUUAUGUAUGGUUGUGUAGGCUAAUGUAGGCUUAUGUAUGGCUAACGGUCAGCAGUUACCUUUUAAAAGGCUCGGAGCAGUUCCUGCAAUUAACGCUGUGU